AGUAAGUGUUGCAGCAUUUAGCAA
rnacentral:miRNA from 1 species